rnacentral:rRNA from 1 species
UACGUAGGGAGCAAGCGUUGUUCGGAUUACUGGGCGUAAAGGGCGCGUAGGCGGCAAUUCAAGUCACUUGUGAAAUCUCCGGGCUUAACUCGGAACGGUCAAGUGAUACUGCUUUGCUAGAGUGGCGGAAGGGCAAUCGGAAUUCUCGGUGUAGCGGUGAAAUGCGCAGAUAUCAGGAGGAACACCGGUGGCGAAGGCGGGUCUCUGGGCAACAACGUGACGCUGAGGAGCGAAAGCGUGGGGAGCGAACAGG